rnacentral:rRNA from 1 species
UCGGGAAUUUUGGGCAAUGGGCGAAAGCCUGACCCAGCAACGCCGCGUGAGGGAUGAAGUAUUUCGGUAUGUAAACCUCGAAAGAAUGGGAAGAAUAAAUGACGGUACCAUUUAUAAGCUCCGGCUAACUACGUGCCAGCAGCCGCGGUAAUACGUAGGGAGCAAGCGUUGUUCGGAUUUACUGGGCGUAAAGGGCGCGUAGGCGGCGCGGUAAGUCACUUGUGAAAUCUCUGAGCUUAACUCAGAACGGCCAAGUGAUACUGCUGUGCUAGAGUGCGGAAGAGGCAACCGGAAUUCUUGGUGUAGCGGUGAAAUGCGUAGAUAUCAAGAGGAACACCUGAGGCGAAGGCGGGUUGCUGGGCCGACACUGACGCCGAUGCGCGAAAGCCAGGGGAGCAAACG